UGGCUGUGUAUCCUUGGGUUUCCCACACCCGGAGUGCAGACUGAGAGCAGCCCAGGAGAUAGAGCUGGGCCCGUGGAGGAUGCACGUGGAAUCUGAGUAUUCAAGAAGAAGAUGUUGUAUGAGGAUUGUGUCUUCCAAGUAGCAGCGACAGUGAUUCCAGAUCCUCCUCCUAGCUAUUGAAGUUGGCACUUUUGCCCCAUCUACACUGUGCUGAAAACCCAUUCCCCUCUGCCUUGCCUGGUCCUAAAACCCUACUACCUGCUUCCCUGUGGGCUGUGUCCUCCGUCUCCCCUACCAAAUUCACUAAUUUUGCUUCCAUCAGGUACUCAACUAAUUAGGAAUGGAGCUCAGCUCCAGGAGGCUGUGUGUUGGGGAGAGGAGUAAAAGUAUUUGCAUAGUCAUUCGGGCGAUUUUGCAUGUUAGCUGCCUUUGGCUUAGUCCUCUCAAUGAAACACUUUGCUGUCUUACCCAGGCCAGAGGGAAAUAGGCAUAAAAGAAAGCAUCCACAUACAUUCCCCCCUACCUUAGUCCUGUCUGAGCCUUAAACUUGCUUGGCCAAAGUCUAGAAAAGCCAGACUGCCCCUUUCAGCCAAAGGACCAGCAGGGUGAGCCAUAUCCUGCCAAAAGUCUGGCCUGAUUGGGGGUUAUGCUUUGCUCUGCAUCAGGCCUUGGCCACUGGGCAUAACAGCUUCCUUCUCUCCCACAGCAACUGUGAAUGUUUCCCCUUCGUCUGCACCAUGACCUCACCCAACA